GUGAGUAACACGUGGAUAACCUACCUAUAAGACUGGGAUAACUUCGGGAAACCGGAGCUAAUACCGGAUAAUAUUUUGAACCGCAUGGUUCAAAAGUGAAAGACGGUCUUGCUGUCACUUAUAGAUGGAUCCGCGCUGCAUUAGCUAGUUGGUAAGGUAACGGCUUACCAAGGCAACGAUGCAUAGCCGACCUGAGAGGGUGAUCGGCCACACUGGAACUGAGACACGGUCCAGACUCCUACGGGAGGCAGCAGUAGGGAAUCUUCCGCAAUGGGCGAAAGCCUGACGGAGCAACGCCGCGUGAGUGAUGAAGGUCUUCGGAUCGUAAAACUCUGUUAUUAGGGAAGAACAUAUGUGUAAGUAACUGUGCACAUCUUGACGGUACCUAAUCAGAAAGCCACGGCUAACUACGUGCCAGCAGCCGCGGUAAUACGUAGGUGGCAAGCGUUAUCCGGAAUUAUUGGGCGUAAAGCGCGCGUAGGCGGUUUUUUAAGUCUGAUGUGAAAGCCCACGGCUCAACCGUGGAGGGUCAUUGGAAACUGGAAAACUUGAGUGCAGAAGAGGAAAGUGGAAUUCCAUGUGUAGCGGUGAAAUGCGCAGAGAUAUGGAGGAACACCAGUGGCGAAGGCGACUUUCUGGUCUGUAACUGACGCUGAUGUGCGAAAGCGUGGGGAUCAAACAGGAUUAGAUACCCUGGUAGUCCACGCCGUAAACGAUGAGUGCUAAGUGUUAGGGGGUUUCCGCCCCUUAGUGCUGCAGCUAACGCAUUAAGCACUCCGCCUGGGGAGUACGACCGCAAGGUUGAAACUCAAAGGAAUUGACGGGGACCCGCACAAGCGGUGGAGCAUGUGGUUUAAUUCGAAGCAACGCGAAGAACCUUACCAAAUCUUGACAUCCU
rnacentral:rRNA from 1 species